AAGAUCAUACUUUAUAGGAUCAAUUCUAUAGUGAGAUACUGAGUGAGGUAACGUGUAACAGGGUGGCGUCCAGGUCGCGGCAAUGCUUACAUUCCCUGACAACCACGUCAUCAAUAAUUUGCCAAGCGCGUGGGUAACCUAGUCGCCAUACUGCACAGAUUAAGACUAGGUUACCCAUGCGCUUGGCAAAUUAUCGAUAGCGUGGU